GGACUACUGGGGUAUCUAAUCCUGUUUGAUCCCCACGCUUUCGUGCCUCAGUGUCAGUUACAGUUUUGUGAGCUGCCUUCGCAAUGGGUGUUCUGUGUCAUAUCUAAGCAUUUCACCGCUACACGACACAUUCCACUCACAUCAAAUGUACUCAAGAAUAACAGUAUCAAUGGCAGUUCUACAGUUAAGCUGCAGGUUUUCACCACUGACUUGUCAUUCCACCUACGCACCCUUUAAACCCAGUGAAUCCGGAUAACGCUUGGAUCCUCCGUAUUACCGCGGCUGCUGGCAC
rnacentral:rRNA from 1 species